CCCCAGUGCCCCUUGGUGUUGGGCUGCGGGAAAGACCUCGCUUAGAUCCAACCUUGCCCUGCUCUCUGGGGACACAUGAGGUAGCAGGCAAGAUGCAAAGACCCGUUCUGUUCCUAGGUAGUGGGAGAGGCUCCUGCUGGUGGUUUCCAGGGGCUUCUGAGCCCCACGAGCCGGAAAGGAGAAGGAGGAGGUGUCCCGCAGGCCCUCCAGAGGGGCUGAGCCACUCGAGACCACCACAGGCCUGCUGUAAACUGGCAGGAGUUCUGGGGUCCAGGGAGGGGCUCUGAUUCCUCCCACAGAGUCCAGACCCGCUCCACCAGCUAGUGCGAGAGUGACUGAGACCCUCAGAACGUCAGUUUCCUCGCCCAAAGGAGGGUGACCGUCAUCACCUGCGUUCAGGGCUCCCGUGGAACCCAGCGGUCCCCUCCUCUUCCCACUUUCUUUCCUGUGAACUUCAGCCACUUCGGGGAUGGAGGACAGGGACCAAAUGCAGCUGCAUUGUAAAUACUAGUGCUGUCCCCCUCGCUUCCCGAGCCAUCCGGGUGUGGAGAAAUACAAGGAUUCGAUCCGACUGAAGUCCAAGGAUGGUAAAAUACACGACUUUCUUCUGUGAAAUCUUAUCAUCUGCACCUAAUUAUCAAAGUUCAGGAUUACCAUUUGGAGGGAAUUGUUCACAAACAUCUGCUCUUCAAAAAUCUGAGCCUGGCUAGAAUGUCCCUCCUCCUCCGAAAUUUCUAAGGCCAGACUUAAGGGAACCGCUGAGCCGGGGGGGGGGGGGGCUGGGAGGGACUGGACAAUUAGCACCGUCUGCCUCUGCCGGGUCCUCAGAAGCCAUUCCCGCAUCGGGGCUGACAGCCAGGAUGUUCAGCUGUUGAAACUCUUGGUGACAAAUGCAAAAUUCCAAAGAAAACCAAACCAAAUUCCUCUGAUUGAAAAGAUGUGUGGGCAACUCAGGAAAGGUCUCACAUGCCAACAGAUGUAAAUGCGGUGCAGAGAGGCGAUGCCAGCCGACCAGAGGCAGAGGAACCUGGGGGCCGCCGCCUGAGGACGCAAGGUGAGCUUGGCGGGUCAAAGGGGACAAAGAAACUGACACAGAUAGGAGAGGAAGGAGGAUUCAAGCCCACUCAGACCAGAUCUUGUGCCAGGAAUGAUGGUGGGUCUGGAACUGGCAUCCCUUUAUGAGAAAAUAAAGCCAGAACUCAUCAAGACUGGCUGAAGACAUUCCCAUCCUGGCUGGAGGCACUUUCUAAACAAAGACCAAAGCCGCCAGUGAAGAGAGGUCUCCUGUGGCCCGACUAAAUGGGCCAGCUCGGCUGGAAUGAAGAAGGUCACACAAGGACGCUCCACCGCACAUUGCAACGGGAAACCUUUGCCAAAGUGAAGGCAGGAAAGUGUGCCUGCAGGCAUGGCAGUGCCUUCUCCCAGGUGAGGGGGACUUGGGAGUGGACCUUGGGUCAUUCUUCCAGACAUAACUUUGCAGAACUGAGUCUCUGGGCAAAAAUGCCAUCGAGUCCCAGAAGCGGCAGGGCGCUUUGGAUGAAGCAGACAAGUUUCUGACUGGAGGCCGCCAGCCAGAGGAGGGAAGAGGCUCCAGGAAGUCACCUGCAAACGCAGGCACCAGGAAAGGCUUUCGGUGCCUAAACACUGUGGGCGUGCCGGGAGCCCAGACACCCCGCCGUGUACAACCAGCAAGACUAAAAUCAGCCUUGGCUGGCGUUGCAGCUUCUUCUUCCCGUUGAGACAAUGUGGCCGCAGGUGGGACCCACCUGAGAAUACAUUAAGAAUAUAAAUACUUUAAGAAUACUUAAUAUAAUUUAAUAUAACAUGUUAAGAAUAGUGCCGACUAUUUAAACUGUUAAAUAUCUAAUUUGGCUUUUAGAUUUACUGAAGUCAAUGUACUUUGUUUCCAUUCCGUCCAAAAUGAAAGCUGAAUGAUGAAAGAUAGUUUUUGGGUUUUGUUUUAUCCUAAGGAGGCAUUUUGAGUCAAAACUCUUCACUCUCAGGGUUGUGACCAGGACACAGAAGUGAACACUUCCUCUGUUACUAAUCCCACACGUCCCUGAGCCUUGCCUGAGCCCUUAUCUGGUCCCAGGGGUCAGGCUGGGCUGCCUGAGGGUAGGGGCUAGAGCCCCCGCCCCUCUGCACAGUUGUAUGUGGAGUUGUGCGUCCUUCUCACACAAGGAAAACCUCCAACACCUGAAGGAAUGCAGUAAAGUAUUUUCAGACAGUGUGAAGGAGUUUUACAGCAGGUUUUAUCUCUACAGAUGGAAAUCAUCCAGGAUUUUUUUUCUGGUCCAUCAUUGAUUUUUUUAUCCCUUCAAGAAGGUGUUAUCUGAUCACUGUGGGAAGAACAAGAUCGCUGGACAGAAGUCCCUCUCCUCCUCUCUGAAACGCAGCGCACACUGGCCGAGAUAACCCUCCCUGAUUGGCUUACGGGUUCUCUGAUUGUAGAUGUUUCUAUUGGCAAAAGUUGACUUUCCAUCAAAACCCAAUGCCUGAGACAUCAAUCUACUUCAAUAAACAAUUAUCCUAAAUAACCUGCAAUUAUACGUAACAUUUCCAAAGAAGAUUAUCAAAUACUCAAAA